AGUAUAAGCAAUCUAUACGGUGAAACUGCGAAUGGCUCAUUAAAUCAGUUAUCGUUUAUUUGAUAGUACCUUACUACUUGGAUAACCGUGGUAAUUCUAGAGCUAAUACAUGCUAAAAACCCCGACUUACGAAGGGGUGUAUUUAUUAGAUAAAAAACCAAUGCCCUUCGGGGCUCCUUGGUGAUUCAUAAUAACUUAACGAAUCGCAUGGCCUUGUGCCGGCGAUGGUUCAUUCAAAUUUCUGCCCUAUCAACUUUCGAUGGUAGAGUAGUGGUCUACCAUGGUUUCAACGGGUAACGGGGAAUUAGGGUUCUAUUCCGGAGAGGGAGCCUGAGAAACGGCUACCACAUCCAAGGAAGGCAGCAGGCGCGCAAAUUACCCAAUCCCGACACGGGGAGGUAGUGACAAUAAAUACUGAUACAGGGCUCUUUUGGGUCUUGUAAUUGGAAUGAGUACAAUUUAAAUCCCUUAACGAGGAACAAUUGGAGGGCAAGUCUGGUGCCAGCAGCCGCGGUAAUUCCAGCUCCAAUAGCGUAUAUUAAAGUUGUUGCAGUUAAAAAGCUCGUAGUUGAACCUUGGGCCUGGCUGGCCGGUCCGCCUCACCGCGUGCACUGGUCCGGCCGGGUCUUUCCUCCUGGGGAGCUGCAUGCCCUUCACUGGGUGUGUCAGGGAACCAGGACUUUUACUUUGAAAAAAUUAGAGUGUUCAAAGCAGGCCUAUGCUCGAAUACAUUAGCAUGGAAUAAUAGAAUAGGACGUGUGGUUCUAUUUUGUUGGUUUCUAGGACCGCCGUAAUGAUUAAUAGGGAUAGUCGGGGGCAUCAGUAUUCAAUUGUCAGAGGUGAAAUUCUUGGAUUUAUUGAAGACUAACUACUGCGAAAGCAUUUGCCAAGGAUGUUUUCAUUAAUCAGUGAACGAAAGU
rnacentral:rRNA from 1 species